GAUGAAGAACGCAGCGAAAUGCGAUAAGUAAUGUGAAUUGCAGAAUUCAGUGAAUCAUCGAAUCUUUGAACGCACAUUGCGCCCGCUAGUAUUCUGGCGGGCAUGCCUGUCCGAGCGUCAUUUCAACCCUCAAGCCCCCGGGCUUGGUGUUGGGGAUCGGCGAGCCUCCGCGCCCGCCGUCUCCUAAAUUUAGUGGCGGUCUCGCUGUAGCUUCCUCUGCGUAGUAGCACACCUCGCACUGGGAAACAGCGCGGCCACGCCGUUAAACCCCCAACUUCUGAACGUUUGACCUCGGAUCAGGUAGGAAUACCCGCUGAACUUAAGCAUAUCAAUAAGCGGAGGA
rnacentral:misc_RNA from 1 species